rnacentral:rRNA from 1 species
GGUGUAGGGUUAGUAAGCAUGCUCAGCCAUGCCGCGUGUGUGAAGAAGGUCUUCGGAUUGUAAAGCACUUUAAGUUGGGAGGAAGGGCAGUAAGUUAAUACCUUGCUGUUUUGACGUUACAACAGAAUAAGCACCGGCUAACUUCGUGCCAGCAGCCGCGAUAAU